AGGCGGUUAACUCAGCGGUAGAGUGCCACCUUCACACGGUGGAAGCCACUGGUUCGAUCCCAGUACCGCCUACCA
rnacentral:tRNA from 1 species